rnacentral:rRNA from 1 species
AUGGAUUCGCUGGCUUUGGGCUGCUGCACCGCGGCCUUCAUCAUUCUGUUCCUGCCUUUGAGCGCUUCCGAUGAUCGGCUUGUCCCUGGCAAGCCGUUGGCCCUCGGCAACACCAUCGUUUCUGACGACGGCGUGCUCGCCUUGGGCUUCUUCAACCCCUCCAACUCCACUCCAGCCAAGCUGUACCUUGGCAUAUGGUACAACAAUAUCCCUGAGCUCACAGUUGUGUGGGUUGCCAACCGUGAAACCCCAAUCACCAACAGCUCUUCCUAUGCACUUAUGCUCUCUCUCACCAACGCCCUCAAUCUCAUUAUCUUGGAAGGUAAUAAUGGUGGUCGUGUCCUUUGGACGACGGCCAACGUGACCACUUCCCCGGCAGGAUCGUCUACCCCGACGGCAGUGCUUCUGAACAGUGGCAACCUCGUCAUCCGGUCGUCAAAUGGCUCCACAGUGUGGCAGAGCUUCGAUCACCAGACAGACACGCUCCUCCCAGGGAUGAAGAUCCGGAUCAAAUACAACACGGGCGGUACUGGCGAUCGUCUGGUAUCGUGGAAGGGCCCCGGAGACCCCUCACCGGGGCGCUUCUCCUAUGGUGUUGACUCGGACACGCCCCUCGAAGCAUUCCUAUGGGAUGGGGGGAUCGUGGUAUCCCGUAGUUCCCCAUGGACGGGGUACCACGUGAAGAGCUUUAAGCAACAACAACUAGAGGUGGCCAUGAACGGGAGUGAUGUUAUCAUGUAUGUAUCGUUCGUCGACAACGGCGAUGAGAUCUAUGCCACAUAUAGCCUCUCUAACGGCGCCCCGCCCGUAAGGUCAGUGUUGAAAUAUUCUGGUCAGUAUCAAACUGAGAUCUGGAGUAGCAACUUGUCGGUGUGGGUAGUUCUAAUGAAGUGGCCAUCUGCUGAAUGCAAUCUCUAUGGUUAUUGUGGCCCAUAUGGCUACUGCGACGAGACAGUGGCACCAAUCCCAACUUGCAAGUGCCUAGACGGCUUCGAGCCAUCAAACAAGGAGGAGUGGACCCGUGGCAAGUUCUUGGCGGGGUGCCGGCAGAAGGAUCUGUUGCAAGGGUGCAGCGAUAGCUUCUUGGCCUUGUCGAGGAUGAAGUCACCAGACAAAUUUAUGCACGUCGGAGGGGGCAGAAGUACAUCUGAGGAGUGUGCGGCAGAGUGCAGACGCAACUGCUCCUGUGUGGGGUACGUGUAUCGCAAUGUCAGUAGCGGUGGGUUCAGAAGAGACGCGACGAUGUGCUUGGUGUGGGCUGGGGAUUUGAUUGACACCGGAAAGAUAGGCACAGAAAUCGGUGGAGAGACACUCUAUCUCCGACUUGCAGCUAAAAGAAGAAAGAGCUAUGCAAUCAGGAUUGUGCUCCCAGUUCUAAGCAGUGGUUUUCUCGUACUCAUCUGCAUAUCGGUUGUCUGGUUAAAAUGCAAAGGCAAGAACAAAAAAUGGAGAAUGCACAAGAAUAUAAGGUUGGGUGGUAUGAGUGCCUCUAAUGAAACCAGGGAAGACAACCCUCCUCAUGAUCAAGAUUUUCCAUUCGUAAGAUUAGAAGAAAUUGUCCUCGCAACCCACAAUUUCUCUGAAGCAUGUAAGAUUGGACAAGGAGGAUUUGGCAAAGUCUACAAGGGACUAUUAGGUGGUCAAGAAGUCGCAGUCAAGAGGCUAAGUAAAGAUUCUCAACAAGGAACAAAAGAAUUCAAGAACGAAGUAAUUUUAAUUGCAAAAUUGCAACAUCGAAACUUGGUUCGACUUCUUGGUUGUUGUGGUGAAGGAGAUGAAAAGCUCUUGAUAUAUGAGUAUCUGCCUAAUAAAAGCUUAGAUGCUACCCUUUUUGAUGACUCAAGAAAAUUGUUGUUAGAUUGGACAACACGGUUUAAUAUAAUCAAAGGGGUAGCAAGGGGGCUAUUGUAUCUUCAUGAAGACUCAAGGUUCACAAUAAUUCAUAGGGACCUGAAAGCUGGGAAUAUUUUGUUGGAUGCACAUAUGAAACCCAAGAUAGCUGAUUUUGGUAUGGCGAGGAUCUUUGGUGAUAACCAGCAAAAUGCAAAUACUCAACGCGUAGUUGGAACAUAUGGCUACAUGGCUCCUGAGUAUGCAAUGGAAGGUGUCUUCUCUACCAAAUCUGAUGUCUACAGCUUUGGGGUGUUACUACUAGAGGUUGUAACUGGUAUAAGGAGAAAUUCUGAUUGUGAAACCAUGGGAUUUCCUAGCCUCACAGUCUAUUCAUGGAAUAAGUGGAACGAAGAGAAGACUGAGGAACUGCCAGACUCAUCUAUCAUAGAUACUUCACCAGACGAAGUUUUGCUUUGCGUCCAUGUUGCACUCCUAUGCAUCCAGGAGAACCCAAAUGAUAGGCCAUGCAUGUCAUCUGUUGUGUUCGUGCUAGAGAAUGGAAGCACCACACUUACAACCCCCAAUUGUCCUGCCUACUUUGCGCGACGAAGUGCUGAACUGGAUCAAAUAAGAAAUAUUCAGACUUCUGUCAACAGUUAUACUUUUACCGAGAUAGAGGGGCGAUGA